UUGUUAAAAGAAUCUUCCAAGUAGUUGUACCGAGAAUCUUGAUCCGACUUCGUGCUUCUUCCCCGAGAACUUAAUUGCUAAUGUCAAAACCCCUCUAUUUAUUCUCAAUGCAGCCUAUGAUUCAUGGCAGGUCCAGGCCAAUUUAGCUCCUGCAUCAGCUGAUCCUAAUGGCAUUUGGCGUGACUGCAAAAUGAAUCACGCAAGUUGUUUAGAAUC